ensembl:lncRNA
CUUGGAGCAAACGCCAAAACUUCCCUGGGGAACAGCUCUCCCUAUGCAGAAGCGACCUCCUUCUUCUCGUAUCUUUUUGUGGAGAAUGGGUCUCGCUCGCAGCAGCAUUCAUUCAUUCAUAGGUGUUUCCUGGCGCUGAUGUUGCGACAGGCCCUGUAAUGAAGACCGCUUCAUUACUGCCAAGGAGUUCCCAGAACUGGCAGGCCAGCAGACAAGCGCUAAGAAAUAAUUGAUAAAAGUGAAGAAGUGUGUACAGGUCCACAAGAAGCAGAAAAGAGGGAAGGGUAAUGGGCAAUCUUCAUAAAGCUGGGACCCCAGGCAGAAGGAACAGCAUGGACAAAGGCUGCCAGGUGGGGAAACUGAGGCCCAGACAGAGUGCAUCUUGUCCAGAGGAUCUGGUCAGCAGCUCACCAGGCGUGAACCCUCUGAGUCACCCUGCUGGGUGUGGAGGACAGGCACAAUGGAAGAAGAGCCCCUCUCCCCCCACAUCAGAAGGCUACUAGUCUGAUGGUGGAGGCUCUGGACCCACCAGGAGUGAAGGUGGAAACACUGGAGGUCAAAUUAGGGAGUGUGUGUCUGAGCUGAAAAGGGGGCCUCUGCCACCAUGGAAGUGCUCCACCCCCAAGGCUAUUGUGAACAAAGGGUAAUCCAAGCACUUCUGGGGAGCUCACCUUUCCCUAGCUGUGGAUGAACAAAUCAGAACAUUGUGAGAAGUCAGAUGUCUUCUUCCUUUUGAGGACUGCACACAAGGGAUCCCCCUUCACCCACCUGGGUUUGGCCCACAAGGCUGGGUCCCUUCCUCCAUGUUCCCUUCACGUGUUCCAAGAUUUGGAUCAUACAGUAAAGGAGAGAUGAAAGAGCAGUGAAAGAUGUACCCAUCCAUGACAGAGGAAACUGACCUGGGCUUGGUCCCAGGACUUGCUGACACAUGCUGUAACGUGGAUGAACCUUGAAAAUGUCAUGUUAGGUGAAGAAGCCAGUCAUAAAAGACCUCUUAGAGGUCAGAGUUCCUGUCGUGGCUCAGUGGUUAACGAAUCCAACUAGGAACCACGAGGUUGCGAGUUUGAUCCCCGGCCUUGCUCAGUGGGUUAAGGAUCCAGUGUUGCCGUGAGCUGUGGUGUAGGUCACAGACGCGGCUCGGAUCCUGAGUUGCUGUGGCUGUGGUGUAGGCCAGUGGCUACAGCUCCAAAUACACCUCUAGCCUGGGAACUUCCAUAUGCCGUGGGUGCAGCCCUAGAAAAAGGCAAAAAGACAAAAAACAAAAAACAAAAAAAAAAA